AACUUUUUACAACGUGUCUCGUGGCUCUCGCGUCGAUUAAGAACGCAGCGAAAUGCGAUAAGUAAUGUGAAUUGCAGAAUUCAGUGAAUCAUCGAAUCUUUGAACGCACCUUGCGCUCCUUGGUAUUCCGAGGAGCAUGCCUGUUUGAGUGUCAUUAAUAUAUCAACCUCUUCAGCUUUUUGCUUGUUGAGUGUUGGAUGUGGGGGUAUUUUUUGCUGGACUCUAUAUAUCUGAGGUCAGCUCCCCUAAAAUGCAUCAGCGAAACAAUUUGUUUACCGCUCAUUGGUGUGAUAACUAUCUACGCUAUUGACGGUGAUGCAUGUUUAGCUUCUAACAGUCCAUUAACUUGGACAACUUUAUUAAUGUGACCUCAAAUCAGGUAGGACUACCCGCUGAACUUAAGCAUAUCAAUAAGCGGAGGCU
rnacentral:misc_RNA from 1 species